CCGGAGAAUGUUAUCACGGGAGACACACGGCGGGUGCUAACGUCCGUCGUGAAGAGGGAAACAACCCAGACCGCCAGCUAAGGUCCCAAAGUCAUGGUUAAGUGGGAAACGAUGUGGGAAGGCCCAGACAGCCAGGAUGUUGGCUUAGAAGCAGCCAUCAUUUAAAGAAAGCGUAAUAGCUCACUGGUCGAGUCGGCCUGCGCGGAAGAUGUAACGGGGCUAAACCAUGCACCGAAGCUGCGGCAGCGACGCUUAUGCGUUGUUGGGUAGGGGAGCGUUCUGUAAGCCUGCGAAGGUGUGCUGUGAGGCAUGCUGGAGGUAUCAGAAGUGCGAAUGCUGACAUAAGUAACGAUAAAGCGGGUGAAAAGCCCGCUCGCCGGAAGACCAAGGGUUCCUGUCCAACGUUAAUCGGGGCAGGGUGAGUCGACCCCUAAGGCGAGGCCGAAAGGCGUAGUCGAUGGGAAACAGGUUAAUAUUCCUGUACUUGGUGUUACUGCGAAGGGGGGACGGAGAAGGCUAUGUUGGCCGGGCGACGGUUGUCCCGGUUUAAGCGUGUAGGCUGGUUUUCCAGGCAAAUCCGGAAAAUCAAGGCUGAGGCGUGAUGACGAGGCACUACGGUGCUGAAGCAACAAAUGCCCUGCUUCCAGGAAAAGCCUCUAAGCAUCAGGUAACAUCAAAUCGUACCCCAAACCGACACAGGUGGUCAGGUAGAGAAUACCAAGGCGCUUGAGAGAACUCGGGUGAAGGAACUAGGCAAAAUGGUGCCGUAACUUCGGGAGAAGGCACGCUGAUAUGUAGGUGAAGUCCCUUGCGGAUGGAGCUGAAAUCAGUCGAAGAUACCAGCUGGCUGCAACUGUUUAUUAAAAACACAGCACUGUGCAAACACGAAAGUGGACGUAUACGGUGUGACGCCUGCCCGGUGCCGGAAGGUUAAUUGAUGGGGUCAGCGCAAGCGAAGCUCUUGAUCGAAGCCCCGGUAAACGGCGGCCGUAACUAUAACGGUCCUAAGGUAGCGAAAUUCCUUGUCGGGUAAGUUCCGACCUGCACGAAUGGCGUAAUGAUGGCCAGGCUGUCUCCACCCGAGACUCAGUGAAAUUGAACUCGCUGUGAAGAUGCAGUGUACCCGCGGCAAGACGGAAAGACCCCGUGAACCUUUACUAUAGCUUGACACUGAACAUUGAGCCUUGAUGUGUAGGAUAGGUGGGAGGCUUUGAAGUGUGGACGCCAGUCUGCAUGGAGCCGGCCUUGAAAUACCACCCUUUAAUGUUUGAUGUUCUAACGUGGACCCGUGAUCCGGGUUGCGGACAGUGUCUGGUGGGUAGUUUGACUGGGGCGGUCUCCUCCUAAAGAGUAACGGAGGAGCACGAAGGUUGGCUAAUCCUGGUCGGACAUCAGGAGGUUAGUGCAAUGGCAUAAGCCAGCUUGACUGCGAGCGUGACGGCGCGAGCAGGUGCGAAAGCAGGUCAUAGUGAUCCGGUGGUUCUGAAUGGAAGGGCCAUCGCUCAACGGAUAAAAGGUACUCCGGGGAUAACAGGCUGAUACCGCCCAAGAGUUCAUAUCGACGGCGGUGUUUGGCACCUCGAUGUCGGCUCAUCACAUCCUGGGGCUGAAGUAGGUCCCAAGGGUAUGGCUGUUCGCCAUUUAAAGUGGUACGCGAGCUGGGUUUAGAACGUCGUGAGACAGUUCGGUCCCUAUCUGCCGUGGGCGCUGGAGAACUGAGGGGGGCUGCUCCUAGUACGAGAGGACCGGAGUGGACGCAUCACUGGUGUUCGGGUUGUCAUGCCAAUGGCACUGCCCGGUAGCUAAAUGCGGAAGAGAUAAGUGCUGAAAGCAUCUAAGCACGAAACUUGCCCCGAGAUGAGUUCUCCCUGACCCUUUAAGGGUCCUGAAGGAACGUUGAAGACGACGACGUUGAUAGGCCGGGUGUGUAAGCGCAGCGAUGCGUUGAGCUAACCGGUACUAAUGAACCGUGAG
rnacentral:rRNA from 1 species